rnacentral:tRNA from 1 species
AAAUGCGUAGCUCAAUUGGACAGAGCAACGGACAUUAAUCCGGAGGUUGGCAGUUCGAGUCUGUCCGUAUUUA